rnacentral:rRNA from 1 species
GUCCACGCCGUAAACGAUGGAUACUAGCUGUUGGAGGUAUCGACCCCUUCAGUAGCGAAGCUAACGCGUUAAGUAUCCCGCCUGUGGAGUACGGUCGCAAGACUAAAACAUAAAGGAAUUGACGGGGACCCGCACAAGCGGUGGAUAGUGUUCUUUAAUUCGAUGCUAAACGAAGAACCUUACCAGGGUUUGACAUCCUUGGAAUCUCUGCGAAAGUAGAGAGUGCUUUAUUGAACCAAGUGACAGGUGAUGCAUGGCCGUCGU